CUUUGCAUAUUCAUGAAGCGCAGAGAGAGAGGAUGGAUGCCCGCACAAGCCGUGGGGAGGUAAUGAAUUAUUCAUGAGGAGCGUCUCGCCCCGCCCAGGGGGGGGGCCUCAUUGAUUAUUCAUGAGCCAGAGGAAGGGCCGUUGAGCCCCGCUCCGAGGGAGGCGUCGACCGGUUGAGGUUAGAUUUGUUGAAAGAAUCCUGAUACAUUCCUAUAAUGGCCACAGCUCAGCUCUCUCACUCCAUCAGAAUUCACAAGGCAUCUAAGGAAACAGUUUUCCCAUCGCAAAUCACUAAUGAGCAUGAAUCAUUGAUAAUGGUGAAGAAACUUUUUGCUACUUCUAUCUCAUGUAUAACAUAUCUAAGGGGCCUGUUUCCGGAGAGCUCUUAUGGAGAACGCCACUUGGAUGACCUCAGUUUAAAAAUCCUCCGAGAAGAUAAAAAAUGUCCUGGGUCACUGCAUAUUAUCAAAUGGAUUCAAGGUUGUUUCGAUGCUCUGGAAAAGAAAUACCUACACAUGGCAAUACUUACACUUUACACAAAUCCCAAGGAACCUGAGAAAGUGACUGAGAUAUACCAGUUCAAAUUCAAAUACACAAAAGAAGGAGCCACUAUGGAUUUUGACAGCAGUAGUACAAGCUUCGAAAGUGGGACAAGCAGUGAAGAUAUUAAGAAAGCCAGUGUUCUACUGAUCCGUAAAUUGUAUAUACUGAUGCAGAACCUUGGACCCCUUCCUAAUGAUGUUAUACUUACUAUGAAACUCCACUACUAUAAUGCGGUGACCCCACAUGAUUACCAACCCCCUGGUUUUAAAGAAGGGGUAAACUCACACUUCCUGCUGUUCGAGGGAGAGCCCGUAAACCUGCAAGUGGGAUUGGUCUCCACUGGCUUCCAUAGCAUGAAAGUAAAAGUCACAACCGAGGCCACCAGAGUGUCUGAUUUGGAGAACAAUCUCUUUCAGGAGAACAGCACUACCGAAAUUGCCCAUCAGGGUCUAGACUGUGACGAGGAAGAAGAAGAAUGCAACAAUCAUAAAUAGCUGUGGUCCAGAACCCUGGUCAUAAACUACAGAAAGUCAAGAAAGUAAAUGAAUGAGAAAAUUCUUCAUAAAUUCCAGUAAAACGUGAGACAGUUCCCAACAUAUCAGAGAGCUCACAGCUCCACUGGUGUUGGAGGUACCUUCCAUGUCGUUUCAUGAUUCAGUGUCUUUAAAUGAGCUGAAUCUUCUGCCCAGAAUGACCUCGUCCACCGCCAUCACCCCUACCACCAUCUCCAGUCUGGUGAACUCCUACUCAUUCUACAAGACCCAGCUCAAUGUUCCUCUUCUGCUAAGAAGCCUUCUCUAAAUUCUCCAGGUUGUAGUGGUCACUCCCUCUUGACUUUUAUAAAACUUUGUAUACUUGCUCUCUCAAUUUCUUUUAUUUUUUAUGCACUCUUCAACUGACUUCACCGUGACUUCUGCCUCCACCAGUCCAAUGCACCUGAUAGCCUCCAUGUAGCUAAAUCAAGUGGCCAUGUUUCAGUCUUCAUCUUCCUUGACCUCUCAGCAACACCUGACACUAUUGACUACCACCAUCACUCCUUUUUAUUCUCCCCUCCCUCUUCUUAAAACUUUCUUCCUGUGGCUUUCUUUACAUGACAAUUUGCUGGUCUUUUCUCUCUCUUUCUCAAUCUCCUUUGUUGGCUCAUCUUUCACUUAAUUUCUAAAUGUUGGAGUUGCUUAAGGCUGUGUCCUGGCCCCUUUCCCUUCUCACGCUCUGAUCUCUCAAUAAGCAAACUCUUCCACACCCAUGGCCUUAAUUAACCUCCAUAUGCUGAUGACUCUCAAGUUUAUAUCUCCAAUCAGACCUCUCUCCUGAGCUCCAGACUUCCAUAUACAGCUACCUAUUCAAUAUGUCCACUUGGGGUUUCACAGGUACUCAGCAGGUUCAAAAUUCCAAUUGUUCUCUACCUGAGAGAAUAGAACCUUCAUCCAUGAAGUUAGCUAAACCAGAAACUGGGAGUUAUUAUUGACCUAUCUACCUCUCCUUUAUCAUCAUAUCCAAUUGCCCAUCCUUCUGACUCUACCUUCUAAAUAUUUUUCUCACUGUUAACUUUUUUCCGUCUACACUGCCACUCAAGUUAUCACCUGACUACUACAAUAGCGUGACUCAUCACCCUGCAUCCACUUGAUGCCUCCAAUACAUUUCUACACUGCAGGCAGAGUGCUCUUUGAAGAGUCCUUCAUUUGUUCGUCAAAAAAACAUUUAUUGAGCCCCUACUAUGUGCAAGUUGUGACCAAGACAGGCAUGUUCCUGAUCUCCUGGAACUCUAUUAAGAGCAUGUGAUUGGGGGACCUAAUUUAAUUGGAACAGAAGUAGGGUAACUUUCUUUGAGGAAAUAAUUUUUCAUCUAAGAUCUGAAGAAUGAAUAGGAUUAACUAGGCCAAGAGAGGGCUGGUGGAAGGGAAAGAGCAUUUUAGGCAGAAGGAACAUAAUAUGCAGAGAUCCGGAAUCAGGAAGAAGCAAGGUAUGAGAAAACUGAGAGGGCAGAGAGUGAGAGUAGAGCACAGGAGAUGAGGCUGGUACUGCUGGGCACAGACAGGCCCUGUGGGGUAGUGACUCUAUUGGGAAGAACUCAGGAGGCCUAGGAGCCUCCUCAAAUGGCCUGCUACAGUGGGUGAGUAUGUGAGUGGAGAUAUGAGCAUUUUUCUGAGGAGAGAGUGCUUGGCUUUCAUCAGGGUCUUAUAGCCAAUCUGUGAGCCCUCUCCUUCCCUAGAAAUGUAAAGAACCCCUGACAGUGCAUGAAAAGCCAAGGUAAGGACUUUGGACUUUUUCCUAAAAGCAGUAAGAUGCCAUUGGAUAUUAUUAAGCCAAAAAGUAACACGGCCAGAUUGUAAAAUCUAUAGGGCAGGAUUCUUAUCUCUUUUGUUCAUUAAUGUGUCCCAAGCACCUAGAAAAGUAUCAUGCAUAGAGCUGACACUCGAUAAAUAAUUGCUGAGUGAAUGAAAGUCUAUUGUGGCUAUUGAAUGGAUGUCAAUUAUGUUGUAUUACAUUAUAUUGUAAUUGUGUGCUUAAUGCCUUUCCUUACAAGACUCAAUCCUUGAAAACGACUGUGUCUUAUUCAUCUUUAUAUUACUAGAGAUAUGGUACUAGUACCCAGAGCAGUGCCUGGCUUAAAAUCAGUAUCAAAACGGAUUCAUUCAUUCAGCCAAUAAUUUAAGAGGCACCUACCAGAUGCCAGGAACUGGGAAUGCAAAGAUGACUAAGAUAUUGUCACUAACCUCAAGGAGUUUGUACUCUAGAUGAGAAGACUGAGUUGAAUGUGCUGAAUUCACUAAAGAGAGCCAGGAAGCUGUCCCUGAAACUGGCUGCCUCCAGGGGACAUCAGCUCCUGAAACUUGGAAUACCGGCCUCUGAUACUGGCAGGAGGGCCUCUGUGCAGGGCCAAACCGCCCACAGGAAAGCAGAUUCAAAGAAUGGAUUUUAUGUGCAGUCAGCAAAGUUCUGAGAGCUCCAGGAAGAAGAGGAAGGUCAGCGAACCAGUGAAAGUCUUCAUCCCUGACAGAAAGUGAAAGUUAGAUGCCUCUGUUACAUUUAUUCUAAAAUGAUUUUAUUUUGCAACAAACAUGCAUGAAGUGGCUUAGUAGGAAAGUAAGUUUCUAUCACCAAAACCUUUUACUAAAUUUGUUGCUCAACUUUUUUAGUCAAUUUACUAAGUGCUGAAUUACCAGGUAGGACAUGGGGUCACCUUGCCACAGGGAAAAGAAGUGCCAGGGCUGCCUUGGGAUAGCAUUACUUCAAGGCUGAAUUAGAGAUGAGACACUCUUUAUAUUUGUAAAAGAACCACAGUAACUAUUUUGAGAAGAAAUAAGCUGUUGUUCUCAAAGGAGAGAAGGGUUCUCUUUGCAUAAUUAAACUCCCCAGGUAUUUAGACUACUGUGAAAUGUUUUAACUUGUUGUAACCUGUGUACUGGAAUCCCUCUAUAGCUUUAUUAGAAUUGUCAGAGAAUUACAUAGGAUGUUUGUGGUGGUGCUUAUCUAAGUGUGAUUUUUGUGUUAACUUCAAUCACGAAGUUGAUCAGCUAAGUGUUAAGCCAAAAUGUACUCUCCCUGUAAAGUUCCUCAAAUCUGGCCCUUGGCCCUGUUCUGUUGGCAAACCUGAGACUGGGAAAUAGGCUGCAGUGCGGGGGGCCUGGCUCCCAUCUUAAGACCAAUGUUGAAUGCUUCCCACCAAGCAUUUCAGUUUAUCAGUCUGUAACCUGAAAAUGAUGUUACUAGUCCCCUCCUUAUUCUGGAAGAGUUUUUAUAGACAUUGAUUAGUAUCAGAUGAAUAGUAAAUGACUUAAAAGUGUUAUUUUUGUCAUUUAUAUAACAUGGAAUUUAAUAAUUUAAUUUAAAUGGAUAGGACCAAUAUGUUAAAUGUUAAGUGUGUGUGCUUUCUGGUUAAAUAAACCAAAAUGCAAGGUAUUUUUUUGCUUGUCUUUUUUUCUUCACUUAGAUCAGUGUUUCUCCAAGUGUAGUAAGGACAUCAGCACCUGGACUGCUUGUUAAAAUACAGAUUACUGGGCCUGCCUCAUUUCUACUAAACCAAAAUCUCAGGGGUGGAGCCCUGUGUAAAACUCCCUGGAUUCUAAUGCACACAAAAGUUUGAGAACUCUGGACUUCUGGGCCAGACUAAGAGGAGAAUCUCUGGGGCCAGACAUGCACUUAAGCCAGCAGAAGGCUGUGUGUUACUGUAACAGAAAGGAAAAUCUGACGGAGCCUGCCUGUCCAGCACUGCCCUUUGUCAGACUCUGAUCCAUCUCUGACUGCCAUAGGCAGCCUACAAACUGGGGUCUUGAAUUGGGCUGUAGUACCAGGGCCUGCUGGGAAGGAACAUUUUCUCUUCUCCCAGCAUAUUGAGUAUACUCACAUAAGCUUGUUCUGCCACUGAAAGGGAAAAGAGGGGAAAGGCAUUGGGUUUAUUAUAUCCUUGAUAGAAUUGUAGCCUGAGUCACCACAAUUUCUUUUAAGAGAAUCAUAUAAAGAGAUUAGCUGUCUAGUAGAGGGAUUAGGUUUAUUUUGUGUCUCUCUAGAGGGUAGAUCUAAGACCAAAUUGGUGAAAGCUACAGGAGGUCAUUUUGGCUCAGGAUAAGGAGGAACUUUUUACCUUCUCAGGCUGUCAAACUUUUGAAAUCAGGAUGCCUCGUAAGGGAGUGAGCAUACCUUCACUACCAGUGUCUGAACAUAAAGGAGCUUUACAAAGACUCUAGGAGUCUUUGACUCUCAAAGCAAAUUAGUUAUAUGGAGUAAUUAGUCACUCUGGAUUUCAGAAGGACCCAUUUUGUUUAAAAGAGAAAUUUAGCUCUCAAUCUAUAUUUAUAAUUUACGUAAACUUAGCCCAAGUUUGAUAGAUCCUCUACGUCAAAGUCUAGUAUCUGAAUCUGUCUAGAAAUUUUCCAUAGUGAUUUUAUUGUCUCAAUACCCCUCUCCCCCAACAGAACAGUCUUUUAUCAAUGCCAGUAGGUGGAAUGUGUAUGUCUGAUGCAGUGUGUGUGUGAGGCAGCAGAAAAAAGUUACCGGGCCUAUGCUCUUGGCUGGGCACACUGGGAAGGAGAUCUGUUAACAAGAGGAUCUGAGAACCGUGAAAAUGUGAACUAGCUGAUUUUACACAGCAGAGCUCAUAGAUGCAACCAGCCAUCAAGAUUGGAGGGUAUCCAAUUCUGUUUACUGAAUGAUUCAUUAGGAGGAAAAAAGUCCUUUCUCUAGUCUAUUCAUUUCUGUCCUUAAUAGUAAUAGAAUGAGUAAACACAAGUUCAUGAAGGAGCUGGAACUUCAGUGAAAAGAGUGAAAACUUGACCCCAAGCUGAGGAGCCUGAGCUGUGCCACACUAGCCAUUCCCUAACCCUGACUGUGCUUGUUCAUCGGUAUGACUACAAAGAUCAGAUGACGAUAGCUUGGAAACUGGGACAUUGUUAAAUUAAAAAUCAUGCAGGGGAAAUUUGACUUUGGCUGGUUGGGGUUUUUCUGUCUUUACAGAAAGUUGGUCUAGCUGGAAAGAGAUGGGUUAGGCUCUUGAUUGCCGCCAGCCUUUGAAGCCAGGCACCGAAAC